AGUGAACGCUGGCGGUAGGCCUAACACAUGCAAGUCGAACGGCAGCACAGUAAUAGCUUGCUAUUACUGGUGGCGGGGGGCGGACGGGUGAGGAAUACAUCGGAAUCUACUUUUUCGUGGGGGAUAACGUAGGGAAACUUACGCUAAUACCGCAUACGACCUUCGGGUGGAAGCAGGGAAUCUUCGGACCUUGCGCUAUUGAAUGAGCCGAUGUGGGAGUAGCUGGUUUGCGGGGUAAAGGCCCACCAAGGCGGCGGUCCGUAUCUGGUGUGAGAGGAUGUACCGCCACACUGGAACUGAGCCACGGCCCAGAGUCCUACGGAAGGCAGAAGUGGCGAAUAUUGGCAAAUGGGGGGAAGCCUGCGCAAGCCAUAAAGCGUGGGUGAAGAAGGCCUUCGGGUUGUAAAGCCCUUUUGUUGGGAAAGAACAGCAGCAGGUUAAUACCCGGCUGUUCUGACGGUACCCAAAGAAUAGGCACCGGCAAAUUUCGU
rnacentral:rRNA from 1 species